rnacentral:lncRNA from 1 species
GUGUGGCUGGCUCAGAGGCAGGCCUGGGGGCGGGCAGGAACGUGGGAGCGCCCCAGGAGGCUGCCAGUGGGUAGCAGAUCAGGAAGUGGGGAAACCGGUUUGUCAUUUGGGCCUCUCGGGGUGGGGUCUCCUCUCAGGGCGCUUGGCAGACCCGCCACUCUGCCUGGAGUCCCACAGCCAAGACAUGCACGGUACCCCUUUCUCUGCUAUCUGAACUAGCAUUAAGGAUGACAGGCGUAAAUAAGAGGGACAGGGGGCUUAGCUCAGCUGCCCCUCUCCAAGGGACGCUUGGGAGCAAAAGGACAGGAAGAACCGGAGGGAGGCAGCCGCCGGAGCAGGGGGCUGGAGGAGGGGUCGCCCGGGUCUGGGUCAGAGCUGGAGACGUCUGCAGGGCCUAGAGAUGAUGUCAUGUGUGAACGUCGCCCAGCCAGAGGCAGCCAGAGGACAGGGACUGGUGACAUCCGGGGAAAGGACGCCAGGUGGGGACGGGCCUGCCGGUUUAGCAGACGGUGGCGCCGAGCUGGAGGAUCUUCCUUCUCCUGAAGAGUGACAGUGAUCGCAUGCGGGCACCUGCGCCUCUACUCGUGGCCAGCCACUGGGGGGCGCCCGCCGCCUCCUCAUCCGCAGGUCUGAACGGAGGGCGACACAGGCCCCUGCCCAGGCCCAGCCUCUGCUUCCCUUCCUGCUGAGGCUCCCUGUCACGCGUGCUGGCAUCUUCCUGCACCUCGUCCUGGGCAGGCGUGACCUCAGGCGCCCAACAGGCUGGGGGAGUGAAGUCAUUUCCAGAACAGCACCCCCAUUAGAAGCCCAGGCUGCUCCUCCCAGUCCCUGUGGGCCCCACAGAAAAAAAGUUGAAUCCAUGCAACAGGUGUGGAACCCCGGAUCACCUGCAUGGCGCCAUCCUUCUCUCUGAACCUCGGGGUCCUUCCUUGUUAAAUAAAGCCAAGAUCUGGAAGAUUGUUUUUAAAUUUUUAAAAUUUUUAUUUGCUUGUUUUUUUAAAGCGGGCCUCGAUAUGUAGUCCAGGCUGCCCUUGAGCUCACUAUGGACCCCAGGCUGGCCUCAGACUCUCGACAAUCCUCCUGCUUCAGCCUCCUCAGUGCUGGGAUGACAGGCGUGUGCCACCACACCAAGCUAGAAGGUUCUUAAAGGGGUUCCUAGGCUUUUCCAUUCCAAGCCCCCCUUGGCAUGGCCCCUCCUCAGAUGAGCAGAUAUCUCUCUACCCCUUCCCUCUCUGCCACCCCAGUGCCAGCUCCUGGCCAGGAGUGCUGCCUGCUGUCUAUCUGCUCCCCACAGCCCCUCAACCCUCCC